UCUUUCUUUCCCAGGCCUGGACAUCAGAGAUGCCAAAGAGCUGUGGUGUUGGGACGGGCUUCAGGACACCAAGCGCCUUGGCUAUAGGAAUAUGGCCAGAGCGGGGGAGGUCUUUGGAGAGAUCUUCUCAGAAGGCCAGAGAAGAUCCUUCCCGCAGGUGGUGCUGCUGGCCAUCCACAACCCCGGGCUACGUGUCAGCCAGGCUGGGCCGGUCUCCAUUGUGGGGGAAGCCGACCAGCUGAUAGAGGACAAGCAGGAGGAUGUUACUGACAAAGUGAUGGCCCAGCUCUAUUCCAUCAGAUGCUUGUGCCAGGUGUCCAAGGUGCUACAGGGCCUGUGCCCCAUGGGACACCCUUAAAGGCCCCCCCCCUCACCUGUCCAGCAGUUCAGACUCCCUGCUGCAGGAAGAGAGUCCCCAGGUGAGGAUUCAUGGGACUUGAACCUAGAUCUGCAGGACUCCAGGUUGGCAGCACCUGGGAGUACCAGGAAGUCAUCUAGGGAACAAAGCAGAUCCCUGCCCUUCUGCUGAGCCAGCCCCCACCUUGUUCCUGGUUCCUGCCUCCAUGCACCGCUCUGCCCUCCAGUUCUUGGCUAUUUACUCUGUCUUGACCCUCGACUCCGGUCUCUAGCUGCUGACCUUGGCAUGACCCUUGGCUCUAGAUGUUGGCUAUGAACUCUGGCUCAGUAUUGUCCUUGUCCUCCUCCAGCCCCACCACUGACCCAGUCCAGCCUUGCCUCCUCCUUCUGAUCCUCCCCAGACACUUGGACUCUGACUACCCAGCUUCAAAUUUCUAUUUGAAUCUGGACUCUGGCUUGAUAUCAACUUGGCUUAUCUUUGGACUCUGACCUCCCAGCUUUGACCUCUGGCCUGCACCUGGACUCUGGCUCCAGUUCUGAUUCUGGUUUGUCUAUGGACUCUGAUCUUGGUUUUGACCUCACCCUGUCCCCGGAUCUUGAUUCCAGCACCACCCUUCACCCAGGUCCAAUCCUAUGCCUAACUGUGACCUAUGCUCCAACCACUAGACCUAAUUAUAGGAAGCAGCACCUGACACCAGGUGGUGCAACUUUUUGCAGAAAAUAGGCCCUUUGCUAGUAUGUGGCCCCUACGCAAGAGGGUACACAUCACACCAGGUGUGAACAAUGGCCUUGCUAACUGAGCCUGGCCCUGUGGUGCCCCUACCAGAAUGGUUCAAUGGAAAUGACUGAAAAUGUAGGGGUUUCUUAACCAGCCUAUGCCCCUGGACCUAUCCCACCCAUCAGGCUAAGGGGGAAUUGGUAACUAGUUUAUUGACUGGUGAGGUACUAGAUUGGGCCUCACCUCUACUCAAACCAAAUUGUCUGGCGAUAACACACUGGAGCACAUUCCUAUGAUUGGUUGAAGCUCUCCUGCCAAAAUUCUAGCAGGCACAUAGGCCAGCCAUCUGAUGACUUGUGGCCAAGGCUAAGUGGAACCAGGUGGCUCAGUGUUAUCAUUUCCGCUGUGCACUCAGUGAAGUGUUCAAGGAGGAAUUAGCCUGGCUAGAAGCUCUCUUGGGCCUGGACAGUUUCAUUGAUCUAGCCAUCCACAUUGAGAACUGCCAUUGUGAGUGCAGGGAAGAAAAGAGAGGAGCGUGUUACACAGCCGCCUCACCCAGGUUCUGCACUAACACCCUUGAGCUCAUCCCCUGAUCCUAUGCAGGUUGAUGUGGCCCACUGACACUUGACCACCGAGGAAAGGGAGCGAAGUCAACGCAAUAACUUGUUCUUCUACUGUGGCAGGCCUGGGCAUGCACUCCCUUUCUGCCUGUCACGGACCCCAACCUGAAAAGUAUGGGGAAACAAAUAAGCCCAAGUUUUCUCAGGGACCCAGCUGAGUCUACCAGGCCACUCACCGCAUCUCCAAGUUCCAGUUCAGUUGUGCAUCUCCAGAGAAACACGACAGGGGCCAUUGCAUUGGGCACUUUUUGGGGCUGUGAAUAAUAUCAUAAAUUUUGAGACAGCCCAAGGUCUGCAAUUCCUUGUCUGGCAGAAGUCACAUCAGAUGAUGUGGGAACCAUUAACAAGACCCUCUUGUCCUCAGGACUGGUUACUCAGGUGAUGGUGCCCCUGGAAGCGGUAACCCAGGUACACAAAGAAAUGCUGACAUUCACUGUGGUUAGUAUGACAUGACCCCCAUGUUCUCUGGCAAACCCUCCAAGCACUAUCAGCAGGCCUGUCGCCAUAGCAACUUGUCUCCACAAGCCCAUUCCCAUACAGUGGUGAAUCCACUCCUGUACAUACUGGGGCUCACAGCAAUUGGCUGCAGUGAACCAUUCUUCGGUAGACUACCAGGCUCUGAACAAAAUGGCAGUUUGGAACCACGGAUUUCAUUGUAGAACUCCCUGAAUCAAAUGGCCACAUGGUACAAUUGACUAUCGUAGAUCAAUUGACCAAGAUAGCAGGCUUCAUUCCCUGUGACCGCGUACCUUUGGCUGAGAGCACAGAUUAGCUCCAAAUUUGCAAACCAUGAUGCCAACGACACCUUUUUUUGCUAACUAUAAAUUAACCCCUGAUUUCAUCCCACACUACCAAUGGCCUCUCUGAACUUGCCAGAUAACAACCUGGUUCAAUGAAUCCACCACAUUCAAGAAGAACUAAGGGGGCACCUAGAGGACACUAGGAAGAACUACAAAUAGUAUGGAUACUGCCAAUGACAGGAGGGGUCUUCUCAGUAGGGAAACUAUUUGCUGAAUGGAGGUACCAAACACUAAUGGAGGCACUGACAAAUUCCUAAGCCCCGUCUGUGGCAACAGUUCCUGCCCCAUCGCCCUUCCUUGACCUUCUGAUCCCAUCCUCCUCCACUGGCUGUAGGGAGCAAACUCUGGGUCUCUUCCCUCACCCUGGCACAAUCCACCCCCAGGGUGUCCGAGCCCCUCGCCAACAAUUGGAUUGUCUUCCCCUCACCCCCUGUAGGGGAGGAAACUAUUAUCCCUAUUUUACAGGCAGGGAAUGAGGUGAUGAAGUGACCUCUCUGAGGUCACACCUAAACCUGGGGUAAAUCUGGGAACUGGGCUGGGUUCCACUCUAUUGCCUUCCCCACAGGGGCAUAGUCACUUCCUCCCCUUCAUUCUCCCCUCCCCUCUUGACCCUUCUUUUAUGGAGGUCUCUGAACAGAAAAUGAGAAGGGUCUUCCUCCCCACUCUGUCUUCCAGGCUCUGGGCGCUGUCCAUGCCUCCUACAUCAAUGGAACCUGCAGCUGGCCCAGCUUGGGGAACCAUGACCUCAUCCUGUCAAGCGAGAACAGCUGGUUCUCAGUGAUGCUUAGAUGGCAAAUCACACAUCUUUCACGGAGAAAAAGCAUCCCCAAAGGAGGUGUAAUGAUCCUGGACUCUAUUGCCUGCAAGAAGCUUCAGACUGGAGCUCCAGCAGAUUCCCCUGAAGAAUACCACCCUGUCUUUCUGUGGUCAGGGUAGGGCUCUCCGUCCAUCAUGGAGGUUAAGACCAGAUGGGAGCUGAUGGAUUGACUUUGAUAUGCCGUGUCCUUGUGUGGAUGAGGGACCUACAUCACAGAGAUGGCCAGUAGCAGAUGUACCACACGUGGCCAGGAAUGGGCUACACAACCUACAAUGAUAGAUCAUCUGCCACUUAGCAGAAUGCGAGAGAGCCGAGUGGUGAUGGGCUAGAGGAGUCACAGGAGUCACCAUGGCUAAGACAACCCAGGCUAAGUUCCCUUUUGAUUGCAAAGUGAAUGUUGACUUGGGGAAUCGGUUGCUGGUGCCUGUGCCCAUAGACAGAGACUAAAUGUUUUCAUGAGGCAACUCAAUGGUACAUGCAGCUCCAUCCAAACAAGUGGCGAAUGUAUGUUAAAGAGCAAAGCUGGGACAUCUGCAGAGCUGCUGCAGUCAAGUGUCCACAGCGAGAAGAGAGAUGAUGGGAAACUCGCUAAGAUGGCUGGCAAUAGCGCUGAGAAAAAGCAGUUUGGCAGCUAGUUCAUUGGAAAUAAAUAGGAACUAAAUAUUGAGGGCUUUUUUCUGCCCAAUGAAGUGUUUAAAAUAUGUCUCUUUACUAUCGCUCUAACCUUUACAAUAUCAUUGUAUAAUUUAAGGCAGCGGGCAGGGGUGUGUGUCUAAAUGUAAUAGAUCACUUUUAGGAGCAUGAAGUAUCUGGUUCAAUCUCUAAGCACCUAAUUCUACAACUUGAGCUGAACCGAACAAAUGCCUCAGGUGGUAGCAGUAGUAAGCUCCCAUCCUCUUUGUGAACUAUCUGCCAGGGAGGCAUUCAGUACAUAUGGUCAUGGAGUGGCAUGAGGUGCACCUUACAGAGCUGCCUGUUGACACUGCCCUUGUCGGGGAGCACGUCCGGGUACUAUGGACUGGGCAGGAGCAACAUUCCUCCACAUCUGCACAGCCUGAGGAUUCAGAGAGCUCUGGUCCUAAUCCCAAAGCUUCCUCAGAGCAACUGAGAAGCCAGACUGCACCUGGACUCUCUCUUUCUCCCUGUCCCAGCAGCAGAGAAGAAGCUGUUCGCACAGAUGGCAAGUGCCAUCUCCCGUGACACUCACAUGUAGGUCACUGGUGCAUUUGUAGAGUCCAGGCUGAAUGCCACACACUCCUCUGGGCUCUGGGAAGCAGGAGGACUUGUGCUGCAAUAAAUCUUUCCGUGAAUCUGCCGAGCAAGCAACCUCUCUGCUCCCCUUACUGGUUUCCAGCCCAUGGGAAGCACCGAGGGGUAAGGAGGCAGUAAUACACCUGCCCCAAAGGUGGGUGUGGGGGAAGAAGCAGAGCUGAAGGGUAACAGACAGCCAUGCUAUAGCAUCCCCCUAGAUUCACUCCAACAACCACCUGGCUCCUUCCUGCCAAAGGUCACACCACUUAGGUUCCCAUGGUUGAGCCAGUUCCCCCACAUCAAAGCUGCCUCUGACUCGCUACAGGCUCUCCCACUGCCCUGCUGUGAGAGAGUUAAGGAAUAAAGUCCUGCCACCCACAACUGCUCAGGGGAAUCCUCUCAGGGCAAUCAGUGUAAGGUUUUAUGGAGAUUUGCAAACUGAUAAUUUUGCAUUGUGUUGCAAGAAGCUGCACAACCCUGAGCAGCUCUGUGUUUGAAGCAACAUUGAUUCCCACAUGGAUUUCUGAGAGGAAAUGCUGAGGACCUGAGGGGAGGUCACUGUGGACUGCAGGUCUUCCCCUGCUCCUAUUCAGGUUCUGCUAUGCCAGUGCUGCAGAGUUGUGAGGGGAGGCUUGAGGGUUCAGAGGGAGCAUGUUGCAAAGCCAGAAUUCCUGUGCUACUCCAGCUGCAGAGACAUGGUCUUUCUACCUCUACACCUGCCAAUGGGGGGAAGCGUCUGACCAUGGGAGUUGCUCCCUGGCUUCAGCAAACCCAUCCUUGCCCUCAGUAUAGUACUAUGGUCUACUGUACACAUCAUGCCAGACACUGAACUUCAGCAUGCGGUUAGCAUUGUCUUGGGGUGAUGGCCAAAUAUCAGUCAUCAGCAUUGCUCUUGUAUACCCCUUUCAUAGUGCACUGUGCCUGGGAUGACUGAACCUUCCCUUCUCCCACCCCACAGGGGCUUGGCUCACAGAAACUCUCAGGGAAUGGGUUCCUCCACCACAAGCCAGGGAGUGAAGCUAAGCUGCUCCAUGGUUGUACUGCAGCCUCAGAGCUGUUGUGACACCUUGCAGUGAGAGAGGAGACUGUACCAAUGGGGCGGCCUGCAUCUCAGACAUGGGGUGUGUGUAGGGAUGUUGUAAUCUAAUGGGAAUAGUAGAGCAGCCAGGAGAGUGUUACACUAAAAAUGCAAAAGGAGCGUGCUAAGGGGUCAAAUGUGGUUCAAACUCAGGGUGUUGUGAAGAGGUUAAAUAGAGGUGGUAAAGAAAUGUGAAGAGAAGAAACUGAAUUGUUUAUACACCAAUGCUAGCAGACUGGGGAAUAAACAAGUGGAACUAGAUAGUCUCAUUGAUGAGGAAAUUUGAUAUAAAUUGGUAUUAUUGAAACCUGUUGGGAUGAUUUGCAUGAUUGGAAUGUUAAAAUCACUGGUUGCAGAGGCAACCUUAAUUCUGACAUUUCCUAACUUUUGAGUGCUUGACUUUGCUACCUCAGUAAUGUUUUUAAUGUAGCUUUUUUUUAUGUGUAGUUAAUACAGAGAACGUAGAAUUUUAGAAGGAUGCUGGAUUGUUGGCUGUGAUACUGUGGUGGAAUGCACAAUGUAAAAAUAGCCCAUUUCCCAGAAGAACCAUGCUCUCCCUGGUGACUUCCUGGUCCAAACUAACUGUAGCUAAUUACUCACACAAUGUGCCUUUCUGGGGCCUGGCCCUGUAAAUUUGGUAGACCCAAGCAGCUGCAGCCCUAAAGUGGGUGUUUUACAACCAGGUGUUGCUUGCUGCAUCUCCCUCUCUUUCCUCCAGUAAGUACUCUACUCUCUGGUAAUGCUUUCCCUUAUUCCUGAAGAGAAUGGCAUAUUCGCAUGUAUCACCUGAGACUGAAAUCAGUGGUAAAUGUAGCUCCACAAGACAUGUACAACACGAGUGAGUAAUGGGGCUGCAAACUUCUCCAUGCUGCCCCACCAAUCUCCCUCAGGCCUGUUCUGGAGGGAUGAACUCUUGGGUUAAGAGACUGGUUCAGUCUAUCUAAGGUAUUUACAUGGCUCUCAUUACUGGAGUAUUUGAGUGCUUCACAAUCUUUAAAGUAUUUCUCCUCACAACACUCCUGUGAGGAAGAAAAGUAUUAUCCCCAUUUUACAGGUGAGGAACUGGUCACACAGGAAGUUUGUGGUUGUGUAGGCAUUGAACCCAGCUCUGCAAGCCCCAGGCUAGUACCUAACCAUCCUCUCUCUCUAUGUCCAUUGAGUUCUUGGCCUCUCUGCUAAAACUGUCAGUGGAAUCUGUGAGGAAAAUGCUAGCUUUAGAUUAGAAAAUAUCACUUACAAGAUUUCUUAUCCUGAAGAGCAUGUUCUAACCUUUCUACCUUUCAGAGCUCAUGUUAAUAUUAUCACCUCUCAUCUAAAAUUAAUCGGGACAGAAUUUCCCAAUUAAAGCAUGAGUAGAUCGCACAGAUUUAUUCAGCAAACAACUGUUCCUUUCAAUUGCUGCCUUGACUUUGCUGUCUAGUUGUAACAGCUGGCUGUUUAUUUUUUUAGAAGGUGGUGAUCCUAUUUAUAGGCAGCAGAACACAGGCAUCCUUGUCUGUGCCUCUACUGAUCUAAUUUAAUCUUUCUUGUUACAAAAGGAGUAACCGCAUCAGCUAGUUUAGUGUCUCAUAAAAUUGGUGUCUGGGAGUCUUGAAGUUUUUUCUAUUUCCAUCACUGUCUUGAGAGACAAUAGAGAAUGUUUUCGAGGGGGAGGGGGCUGCCUGUCUGAAAGCUGGGGGCAGUGGUUUUUGAGACUGUUUACCUCAGGGUUGGACUUUCACAGGGCUUAAAGUGAUCUCCAGGAAGGCACAAGUCUGCUAGUGACCAACCAUAGCAUUUCAUUAAUUAGUUACAAAAUACUUACGCUCAAAUAAUGUAUUGAAAUACAUUGAAAUGCUGUUGUGUCCUUUGAAGGAGGGCAGGGAUAUGUUUGAUUUGUUUGUUUAUUUUUUUGGAAAACCAGGUGGCAGAGUAGGCAUCAAGGUGGGAAUGAUCAGAAUUUGGCAAUUGGGGAAUAUGACUGCAUCAUCCCAUUUGGCAACUCUCCAGGAAUGGGGCCCAGCAUGGCAAAACUGCUGCAUCUGACAGGUGCUCCUCCAUUGGCAGUUGACAGCGUAAUGUUCAGGCUGUUAUAAAGAGGAUGGUUAUCAGUUAUUCUCCAUAUCCAUUGAAGCUAAGACAAGAAGUAACGAGCAUAAUCUGCAGCAAGGGAGAUCUAGGAAUACUGCGUACAGAUGUGGUCUCCUCAUCUCAAAA